AUCUAUGACCAUACCACCCUGAAUGUGCCUGAUCUUGUCUGAUCUCAGAAGGUAAGUAGGGUCGGGCCUGGUUAGUACUUGGAUGGGAGACCACCUGGGAAUACCGGAUGCUGUAGGCU
rnacentral:rRNA from 1 species